rnacentral:misc_RNA from 1 species
UUAAUGCAUUUAUAUAAGAAUAUGAUUUAUGUAUAUAAACUGUAAAGUUAGUUUCUUGAAUUUUUAUUUCAAGAUUUUUAAUUUGAGUUGAUAGUCAGUUUUGAAUAAUUUUUACUAAAAUACUGUUCAAAAACAAAAUUAUUAUUGCAAUAAUUGUGGCUAACCAUUUAUUUUGUAAAACGUUGCAAAAGGAUCUAUGUGGCAGAACCCAACUAGUUCAGGAUUGAAGUUUCGUUGUUAUUGUUGUUGAGAGAAUUUACAUAUUGUAUAUUCAAAUAAAAUUUGUUAAAUAAUAUGAUAGCACUGGCUACAACUGUUACACUUUGGUUAGAACACUAUGUAAUAGUCACAUCGAUAUGAUGACUGUGGCAAUGAUUUAAAACCUUGGGCUGGCAAUUCAGUUCUGCAGUUGGUAACUAAGUUUCACUUCAUAGUAAUUUUGAUAGUUUGUGUUUUGCCAGUUGUCUAGUGCAAGAAAGUUUAGAUUUAUUGAAUUCAUUGGGAAUAUGAUGAAUAUGCAAAGAACCGAGUAAACAAAAAGUAGGCUAUUUUAUGUGUAUGAACUUUAGUUUUUCUUUCUGUGUGUGUGCAUU